UGGGAACUCAGCAGGAGUCCAUACACGCAAUUCAGGUGAAUACUGAAGAAGGGAUCUGGGGAAAAAAUGGAGGACAACGCAAUCAAGUGGGAUGGAGAACAAGAGGUAAGAUCAAUUCAAACCAAAUGAACCCUAUACAAGAAAACUCCAAUAAACUCUGGGAACUGGAAGAUCACUGAUGAUACUAUGAAAUAUCCUGUGUCAAGGGAAUGCCUGGAGCCCCCACCAUCUAAAAGGACUUGACAGACUUGAAAAGUGGGCCUGUGAAAAUGCCAUGGAGUUUACAAGGCCAAAUGCAAGGUCCUGCUCCUGGCUUGGGGCAAUUCCAGCUACAAAGACAGGCUCGGCGUGGAAUAAUUGAGAACAGCCCUGAGGAGGACUUGGGGAUGUUAGUGAAGCUGGGCAUGAGCUGGCAAUAUGUGUUUGCAGCCCAGAAAGCCAAUUGUAUCCUGGGCUGCAUCCAAAGCAGCAUGGCCAGAGGGGUGAGGGACGGGGUUCUGCCCCUCUGCUCUUCUCUGCUCUGCUCUGAUGAGACCCCACCUGGAGUGCUGUAUUCAAUGCUGGAAACCCUAACACAGAAAGGACAUGAACCUAUUGGUCAGAGUCCAGGGGAGGGCCACAAAGAUGACCAGAGGGCUGGAGCAUCUUUCCUGUGGAGACAGGCUGAGGGGGUUGGUGUUAUUCAGUGUGGAGAAGAGAAGGGUCUGGGGAGACUGAAUUGCAACCUUCCAGUACCUAAAGGGGGCUUAUAAGAAAGACGAGGACAAACUUUUCAAUAGGGCUUGUAGUGGUAGGACAAGGGGCAAUGUCUUUUAACAGAAAGAGGGUAUAUUUAGACUAGAUACAAGGAAGAUGUUUUUUAUUGAGAGGGUGGUGAGACACUAGAACAGGAUGCUCAGAAAAGCUGUGGAUACCCUGUCCGUGGAUGUGUUCAAGACCAGGUUGGAUGAGGCUUUGAGCAACCUGAUCGAGUGGAAGGUGUCCCUGCCCAUAGUAGCUGGGUGGUUGGAACUAGGUGAUCUUUAAGGUCCCUUCCAACCCAAACCAUUCAAUGAUUCCAUGGAAACAGUUGUUCAACGACAAAUGCGUAAAUAGAGGAUGAGCCUAUCCUAUGAACCUGUGUAUUGUGACUGUAAC